GUUUCACCUAAAGCUGUCUCGUUACAUUUUUAAAGUUUGGCCUAAAGGUUUCUCUGUACAUAGUGAAUGGUAAUCUCCGGACGUGUAAACAAGCUGUAACCUAUUCUUGUACCAAUUGCUGAGUUUCAGCCAAUAAAAUGCAGCCAACUGUUGAAACCAUGUUCAAAUAAGGCAAGUAUCAAGCUGUAAGCAAUCCAGCUGUUUCUGUACUUCAGUUUCAUUUUCUGUACAUCACUUUCCUUUUUCUGUACAUAAGUCUUCAACCAUGUGGUAGUGCCAGAGUCUCUUUGAACCUAUUCUGGUUCUAAGGGCUGCCUGAUUUGUGAAUCACUGUUUCCUCAAUUAAACUCUGUUAAAUUUAAUUUGUCUAGUUUUUCUUUUAACAGAUGGUGUCAGAAGUGGGAUCCGAAGUAGAACCUCUAGCAAUCCCCAGAAGCACUGAGUGACGAAGCAUGGUACCAGUCAGACUCUCUGUGUCCAUUCCUCUCUUGCAGCAACUGGGGAUUGUGGUGUAUUUUCACCAGGUAAAGAAAGCUUUUCAUGGACCACUGACUCAGGACAAGCAAACCCUUCAUGAUAUAGAAUUCAGAGGCUGGAUCUUUUGGAAACACAUCAGAGAAAGACUCCCCUUGUCACCCACACUGCAGCGAAACUUCAGGACCCUGAAGCUUGGGUUUGUAAUCUCACAACUUAGAAAGGCCCACCCAGACUCUUGGAACCACACACCCAUCAGAGGGAGAACUUAAGGUAAAGCUAAUGAGGUAAGUUUCUCCCGAGAAGCAGAUGGCCUCCUAGAUGUGGACAGAUUUCCCAAGAUUGUGGAUCAAGACUUCUCUGCUAUCAUGAGGCUUUUGGCUCUCAAUUUUUUCCAAGUUCAUGCCUGUUAUGAACAACUAAACUGAAAAAGGGGUCUCUUGUGUACACUCACAAGGUAUACUUUUAUUUGUGAAGGAUAAAAAAAACCUCAUAUUGGCCAGGUGUGGUGGCUCAUGCCUGUAAUCCCAGCACUUUGGGAGGCCAAGGCGGGUGAAUCACGAGGUCAGGAGAUCGAGACCAUCCUGGCCAACAUGGUGAAACCCCAUCUCUACUAAAAUACAAAAAAUUAGCCAGGCAUGGUGGCACAUGCCUGUAGUCCCAGCUACUCAAGAGGCUGAGGCAGGGGAAUUGCUUGAACCCGGGAGAUGGAGGUUGCAGUGAGCCAAGAUCACAGCCUGGUGACAGAGCAAGACUCCGUCUCAAAACAAAAACCAAAAAACAAAAAAAAACAAAAACCCUCACACACAGAGAAGUUUACGCCUUGAUAGAGGGAAGAUGAAGGGCCAAUGUGGGUGAGAAAUUUUAAUGGUACCUUUUUUGCUUCAUAAUCAGUCAGAAACAGAGCACUGGUCAACUCCUCUUAACCUACAUCAUAAUUUAAAGAGAAAAUUGUCGGCCAGGCAUGGUGGCUCACAACUGUAAUCUCAGCAGUUUGGGAGGCCGAGGUGGGCAGAUCACGAGGUCAAGAGAUGGAGACCAUCCUGGCUAACGUGGUGAAACCCCGCUCUACUAAGAAUACAAAAAAUUAGUUGGGCGUGGUGGUACGUGCCUGUUCUACUUGGGAGGCUGAGGCAGGACAAUUGUUUGAUCCCGGGAGGCAGAGGCUGCAGUGAGCCGAGAUCAUGCCACUGCACUCCAGCCUCAAAAAAAAAAAGAGAACAUUGUCAAUACAGGUUAAAGAGAAUAGUGCCAGGAGGCCUUCACUCUUCUGGAUGGGCAUUAUUUGUUAGUUUAUUUUUCUAUGGUGUGUUUUUUCCUUUUUGGAGACAGGGUCUGGCUCUGCUGCCCAGGCUGGGAUGCAGUGGCGUGAUCUCGGCUCACUGCAACCUCUGCCUCCUGGGCUCAAGCAAUCCUCCCACUUCAGCCUCCUGAGUAGCUGGGACCACAGGCGUGCACCACUGUGCUCGGAUUAUUUUUGAAUUUUCAGUAGAGACAGGGUUUUGCCAUGUUGCCUAGGCUGGUCUUGAACUCCUGAGCUCAAGCAAUCUGCCCACCUCAGCCUCCCAAAGUGAUUGCAGAUUACAGGUGUGAGCCACUGCGCCUGGCCUAUGGUUUGGAGUUAAUGUAAUGAGGCAAUGAUUAGAAAUUUAUCUCUCUAAAUUUUCUAGCCUAUUAGAAAUUUAUAGGCUCUUUAGCAGAUUCUACUGCAAAGACUAUGGUUAUACAAGAGACUUUAAAUUAUCUUGCUAAAGUUGUGCUAGAUAAUAGAAUUGCUCUAGAUUACUUACUGGCUAAACAGAAGUAUCUGUGCAGCUGCUGCUACUUCUUAUUGAACAUGGAGGAAUACAUUGGAUAUUAACAGAUUCAGUCGUAGGGGAUUAACAAACAGGGUGCUUGGUUGAAACAAGUAGACUCUUAUUCUAGCUUAUUCUUCGAUCUAUUUGAUUUUAGGUGGCUUGGUUCAUGGGGACCUUGGCUAAGGAGCAUACUCCAAACUCUUAGGGUUAUUCUCCUGAGAGUCAUAAUAGUAGUCUCCCUGGGAUACUAUAUUCUCUCAAAAGUUUUAAGUGUUUGCAUAUGGCCAUCUGUAGGAUGUCAAAUGGUCUCUCUUGAAUUGGAACAGAAACUCAAAGAAAUGUAUGAGCAUGAGGAACACCAUACUUAUAAAUGACGUACUGAGACCAGAAACCCAAAAUCUUGGUAACAGAGUGGUGCUAAGGUCCUAAGUUUUGGUCACACUCUUACCUAAGUGAGGACCUAACCAAAAGGGAGGAAUUUUUAAACAAAAUUGUGGGAGGCCAUUGUUUUGGACUAAGCUCAUGCAUGAGGCCCCAACAGACCAUACCAAACCAAAAUGGAGUCACUCAUGCUAAGCGUGAGACAAUUACACUGAAACAUUAAAGAAAGAGAUAGAUCCUAAAAUAGACCAGGUUUUGUUUUUCUCCUGAAAACAGGAAAUUUCAGCACAAGGAGGUCCCCUCUACUCUUACCCUUAGGAAAAAGUAACCUGAAGUCCUUGUUCCCAUUUUACAAAACCCAUUGUUCUGCUAUUUCCCAGUGGGAUUUGAGACCAAAUAAGUAAGUUUAUGAUGGUGACUGACAUCAAUGCCAAUCCAUUAAAAAAAAAAAUUGGGGGGAUAGAUCAAAGGGGAUAACUGUUAAAUUAAGUUUUGCCUAAAGCUACCUCCUUACAUCUUUUAAGUUCAGUCUAGAGGUUUCUCUGAACAUCGUAAACUGUAACCUAGGCCAGGCGCAGUGGCUCACGCCUGUAAUCCCAGCACUUUGGGAAGCUGAGGCAGGCAGAUCACCUCAGGUCAGGAGUUUGAGACCAGCCUGGCCAACAGAGUGAAACCCCAUCUCUACUAAAAAUACAAAAAUUAGCCGGGCAUAGUAGUGCAGGCCUGUAGUCCCAGAUACUCUAGAGGCUGAGGCAGGAGAACCGCUUGAACCUGAGAGGCGGAGGUUGCAGUGAGCCGAGAUCACGCCACUGCACUCCAGCCUGGGUGACAGAGCAAGACUCUGUCUCAAAACAAAAACAAAAAACUGUAACCUAACUGGAUGGGUAAAUAGUGGAUAAGCUACUUGUGUACCAAACACUGAGUUUUAGCCAAUCAAUUACAGCUAACUGUUCAAAUCAUCUUCAAAUAAGGCAAAUGCCAAGCUGUAACCAAUCCAUCUGUUUCUGUACUUCAUUUCCAUAUUCUGUAUGCCACUUUCCUUUUUCUGUCCAUAAAUCUUCUUCAACCAUGCGGCUGCUGGAAGUCUCUCUGAACCUGUUCUUGUUCCAGGAGCUGCCUGAUUUGCAAAUCAUUCUUUGCUCAAUUAUAAACUCUGUUAAAUUUAAUUUGUCUGAAGUUUUUAUUUUAACAGAAGAUAUGAUUAGCUCUAUUUUACAAAGGUGAACAUUGAAGAAUAAUGAGAUUAAAUAAAUUAUCCAUGGUAAUAAAUCCAGGUAGUGGCAAAUCUGGGAAUUAUACCUAAACUGUCAUCGAAAGACAAUGAUGCUUGCUGCUACUAUCCCACAAAAAGUAGUUGUGAUAUUGUGAAAUAUGCAUUUGUUGGCCAUUCCCAUUUCCUAGCAGACAACUCCUAAAAUCCUUAGAAACUCCUAAGUGUUAUCUUUUUUAUAUGAUACUGAUUGCCUAACGGCUGGUAGCCUAUAGGUAGCUUCAGGAUGGGGUCUGGUCACCAGAAAGGCAAGGCAGGAUUAGAGGGCUGGGACUUUCAGCCCCACAUCCCCAACCUCCAAGGAGGCGAAAGGGGCCGAAGGUUAAGUUGAUAACUAAUGGCUAACAGUUUAAUCAAUGAGGCCUAUGUAAUGAAGCAUCCAUAAAAAUCCAAAAGGAUGGGGUUUGGAGAGCUUCUGGCCAGCUGAACACACAAAGGUUCCUGGAGGGUGGUGUACCCAGGGAUGGCAUGUAAACUCCACACUCCGUCCCCAUACCUCACCCUAUGGAUAUCUUUACUGCAUCCUUUGGAAUAUCUUUUAUAAUAAAACAGUAAACAUAGUAAGUGUUUCCCUAGUUCUGUGAGCUGCUCUAUCAGACGAAUCUAUCUUGAAGAGGGGGUCAUGGGAACCCAUGACCAGAGGCCUGGACUUGCUACUGGCAUCUGAAGCAGAGUGCAGCCUUGUGGGAGUGAACCCUGAAUCUGUGGAAUCUGAUGCUAUUUCCAGGAAGAUAGUGUAAUAACUGAAUUGGAGGACACCCAGCUGGUGUCCACUGCAGAACUGAUUGUUUGCUUGGUGUGUGGGGAAACCCUCCCCACAUUUAGUCACAAGAGUGUUCUGUGUUGAUUGCUCUGGUGUGAGAGCAGAGAAAAAACAUGGUUUGAGCUUGUGUUUUUUCCAUUCACAGUAGUCUAUAAGGAUGUCUAAUAGAAUGAAUCAAGGAAUUUACUAUGACUAACAAAUUUUUU
rnacentral:lncRNA from 1 species